rnacentral:rRNA from 1 species
CCUACGGGUGGCUGCAGUGGGGAAUAUUGCACAAUGGGCGCAAGCCUGAUGCAGCCAUGCCGCGUGUGUGAAGAAGGCCUUCGGGUUGUAAAGCACUUUCAGCGGGGAGGAAGGCGCUGAGGUUAAUAACCUCAUCGAUUGACGUUACCCGCAGAAGAAGCACCGGCUAACUCCGUGCCAGCAGCCGCGGUAAUACGGAGGGUGCAAGCGUUAAUCGGAAUUACUGGGCGUAAAGCGCACGCAGGCGGUCUGUCAAGUCGGAUGUGAAAUCCCCGGGCUCAACCUGGGAACUGCAUUCGAAACUGGCAGGCUAGAGUCUUGUAGAGGGGGGUAGAAUUCCAGGUGUAGCGGUGAAAUGCGUAGAGAUCUGGAGGAAUACCGGUGGCGAAGGCGGCCCCCUGGACAAAGACUGACGCUCAGGUGCGAAAGCGUGGGGAGCAAACAGGAUUAGAUACCCGUGUAGUC